UGGGAAUCAAAUUCAACACUUUGAAAAUUCAAGGACUUGACUUGAACUAAAGAAAGGCAUUGGUUGCAUAAUUAAUUGGGUUCAAGAAUUAAAUUGUAUGAUUGUAAAAAAUUGAGGACUUAAAGAAAAUUGUGGUAUAAGUGGACCUCUUGGGCUGAUUCCAAUGAUAGAGAAUACAUAUGGGAAAUAUAUAGAAAGGGGGACGGCUGCCAAGCUGCUGGGGAAAGAGUUGGAGAUUAACCUAGAAAAAAAAAUUGUCUUCUUUUGUGAGUCAACAAAAAAGGGCAGCUUGAGGAAACAUAGGGAAAAACAAUUGGGCAGCACUUUGGAGGAGCUGAAGGAGUUUCUUUUCUUCUACAUACAAAAAGAGACGCCAAAAAAAAGGGACGGCUGCUGAUCGAAUAAAGGGCCUGAAUUGAGAGAUAUUAUGGCAAGAAGAAACAGCGGCUAGGGGUCAACAUAUUAUACAUACAAGCUGCUGAAUUUGACCAGUAAAAAAAAGCAGAGCAGCUGGGAAAAAAGGCAAAGAAAAAGGGCUGCUUUGGCUGGUUUAUAUAUAUAGCAAUUUAGGCGGAAAAUUGAAAGGAAUUGGAGACUAAAAGGCAGCCAAUUAGGGGAGUAAUAUACAUUGAUACACAUGGAACCGAGAGGAAGAAAACCUAUAGAGAAGCUGGUCGAAAAUAAGAGAUUCAACAUUGGAUUCCUAGAAAGGCUGUCGGCUGAGUUUUCUUUGUGCAACUUUCUUCAAUAAUUCUGCAAGGAGCUUGAAGUUUAAUCAUGUCCCGUCGAUUUUCGGUGAUUUCCUUUCACUUUUAUGUGUAUAAUUCCAACAGUAUGCUAGGUUAAUUUUUCUCAUGUAUUGGAUGAAAGACAAAAUUGUUUAAUUAUUAGUUUUAAUUCGAGACCUAUGUUUUUAUGUUAAUUUUUGCAUUGUGAUUUCAUUAAUAUGCAUAAUUAGAUUUUUUUAAUGUUUGCGCACCAUUAGGACAAUAAGUUGCUUAUUCGUAAUGUUGAAAAACUCACGGUAUGUAGAACACUGUUGAUGGAAUAUACGGACAAUAAAUGUUAUGAAUAAUAUUUGUGGCGUAUGCGAUCUUAUAUGAUAAUCCUAAAUGUCAAUACAUGUUUGCCAUAUGAAUUCAGACUAGGAAUAUGAUCGUCUCGUGGUAAACAUAAGUUUAUUAUAUCUGGGGAAAGAAUAAUAAAUAAAAGUGAAAUUAUCGAUCAUCGCAAUUGCAUGAAUUAAGAUAAUUAUUACUGGUUGAGAAUUAGAACUAAGAAUUGAUCAAUGGCAUUAGAAAUCCAAU
rnacentral:lncRNA from 1 species